UUUGUUGCCUUUCGAGUCCCUCAGUUCCAAUCCCCAGCGAAGGUACUAAUUUGCCCUUCCAUCAAAUUCCACCGCUCAGUUUGCUCCCAGUUCCGACGGCGCUCUCUUCCCUCAUCUCGCAUGGAAUGCGCCCGAUCGAACGGCAGUGCGGCGGUCGAUUGCGGUGACGGCGGGGGAUCGGGGCAGGGCAGGCGGACGCGUCGAUUGCGCUACCGUUAGGAUGCGGCGGUGGCAGCCGCUUGAGAGGGGAAGAUGCGUUUCCAGUUCGAGAACUAGGAGCACGGAGAGGGAUGACGCGUCUUCUUCUUCAUUCUCUUCCUCCCGUCAGCGGACGCAGCGGACAGGGAUGCGUUUGAGGAGUAGAAGCCAUAGCCUGUGUCUGCCUCGCGUUGGCCGUGUUGAUGAGGGUCUCCAGGAUCUCGCUCUUCCGCUUGGCAUGUCCUUUGCUGCCGUCGUUGCGCAGGACAAGUAUUCUAAACGCCAAAGAAACUAUUCAUGAAGACAAGGCUGGAACUUGACAUGAUAGUCGGAGUAUGAAUGAACUAGACUGUCAAAUUUUAUUAUAUCUGAAUAGAAUCCAGGUUCAAAGCAGACUCAAAUUUAGCUUCUACUGCAUAUUAUAUUAUAUAUUGAAUUAGUUAUCAGGCCAAUCACAUCAUCCUUCAUAUUACAAAGACCUAAUAUCAUCUUUUGAACAGAGGUGACUUGUAUUAGGGCAUCUUCUUGUACUAAGUUUAAGAGCGAUAAACUCUAUUGUUGAAAUGUUACCUUGUUUUUAUUGUGAUUAAAGAACCUUUUUUGAGAUAGUGGUGUAACUGUCUUUGUCCUAAUAUCUGACAAAUAAACAAGUGAAUUCCAUGUUCA